CUUCCGCCGGAAACCCAGAAUCGAACCGAAAAUCCAGCCCACUACCGGGGCUGGGUGGUCUUCUUCCUCGCCCGGCGCGCAGUCGUAUCCUAGUCUCCCGCGCCCCGAUUUAGGUUUUCACGCCCAGCUCUUACAGGAUCCUGAUAACCCGCCGCAUUCCCCACAUCUCAAUUCCAGCUGCAAAUUACCGCAGAACCUGAAGCCAGGAAGGGAACCUAUUUCCGGUCCCGGUCCGCCUUUGCCCGCACCGGUGAGGCCCAGUGAGGUUCUCGCCGGGCUUUCCGGCUUCAUCUGCCACACUCCUCCCUGCCUGUCCCUCGUGGACACCCCGCCGCCCCGACCAUGUCCCAGAAGCCGAAGGUAGAGCCCCACGUCGGACGGCUGGGAUACCUGCAGGCGCUGGUCACGGAGUUCCAGGAGACGGAGAGCCAAAACGCCAAGGAGCAAGUCCUGGCCAACCUCGCCAACUUCGCCUAUGACCCCAGCAACUACCAGUAUCUGCGACAGCUGCAGGUCCUAGAUUUAUUCCUCGAUUCGCUGUCUGAGGAGAAUGAGACCCUGGUGGAGUUUGCUAUUGGAGGCCUCUGUAACCUGUGCUCAGACAGGGCCAACCAGGAAUACAUCCUGCAGACAGGGGGCAUCCCGCUCAUCAUCAACUGCCUGUCCAGUCCCAACGAGGAGACCGUGCUGUCCGCUGUCACCACCAUCAUGUACCUGAGCUCGCCGGGCCCUGGCUCCCACCCCGAGCUGACUGCCAUGCCCGUGGUCCAGUGCAUGCUGCGCUUCUCUCUCUCAGCCAACACGAGGCUCCGGAACCUGGCCCAGAUCUUCCUGGAAGACUUCUGUUCCCCGAGCCAAGUGGCUGAAGCCCGCCGCCGGCCGGCGCACUCUGCCCUGGGUAUCCCACUGCCAAAGACCGCGGUCCCACAGCAGCCCUGAGCCAAGGAGACCUCAAGGCCAUGGCACCCUUCCUGCCAGAGCCAAAACCAAAAUCCUGGUGGGGACUUAGGAAGCAGAAGCAGCAUAGCUCCCACGGAGCACUCUCCCCCAUGGUGACUUUUCAGCCAUUUUACAGGGCUCUCACAGAUGUCUUCGGGCUCCCCAAAUUCCUAAUUAUAGCCAUUGGCCAAAACUGGUAAAUAAAGAUUAGCUGAUUCUGGCUAAAUAAGGUCUGCCAAUGGUAGUAUUUCAGAAUGAAAAGCAGCAGCAUCGAAAAGCCUAGAAGAUUAUUUUUACCUCCAGAACAGUCUUUUCAAAUGGAACAAAUUGGACAUGAAUAACAAGUCUACCUUCAGUCCAGUGAAAAAGUAAUUUGUCCAGUGAGAAGAACCCAGGUUAGGCUCAAAGAUUCAGAAGCUUCUCCUACCACGCCCACCAAGAAAGACUGUUUGAGAGGACAGAAGAGGACUGUGGUUCUUAAACAUUCGUUUCCCUGGAAGACUGUACCACAAAAUGUAGGAAAAGGCCACGAGGAAGUGACUCUGGGCCAGAGAGUCUAUGACUGCUAUGACCCGACUGCUUUCUUUCCACUCAUCGUCAGUUCUCUGGCACUUGUAAAAGAAAUGCCAAUGACUACUUCAAAGAUUUAAGAUAAUUAAGCAAAUGAUGACAGCUCAUUUCCACAUGUAAUUGGUCACAUGAAUGCUAACUGAAAAUUUACAUCUGCCCCUAAAUCAUCACUUACAAGAUCACAGAGUUACCACUGUCUGGGUGAAUAACCACCUCAUAUAAAAAUCACAUUUUGUAAAGUCAAUGCUGUGGGCCAAGGCUGAACUGCCAGAGCCCUUUAUUGAAAAGCUCUCAUUAAGUAUCACAAAUACCAGCCUGAUUGAUGUGCAUACAUUUGUAAAGGAUUUUCCGGGGGUUUUUGUUUUUUCUUUCUCAUACACGUCUAGCAUUGCCCUCACUGCUGGCUGGUACCAAAUGUGGCCAUGUUUGCUAACUUUCCAGUUUCAUUUUUCUUGCCUUUCCACUCAAGAUUAUGCUGGCACUCGGGCAAAGGUAGGUUUCAUUCCCCAGUCUCUUUCCCCAAGACAUGAUUUGAAUCAAAAUACUGAUAUUCUAAAACCAUUUACAGAACCAGAAAUCGGCUUCAGAAGU